GAUGAACGCUGACAGAAUGCUUAACACAUGCAAGUCUUUGGCGAAUCUGUGCUUGCACAGGCUAGCCAAGGCGGACGGGUGAGUAACGCGUAAAGAACUUGCCCUGCAGACAGGGAUAACAGACGGAAACGACUGAUAACACCUGAUACAGUUGCCGGCACGCAUGUGCCUGGCAAUGAAAAGAGAUGCUGCAGGAGAGCUUUGCGUCCUAUUAGCUUGUUGGUGAGGUGACGGCUCACCAAGGCGAUGAUAGGUAGCCGGCCUGAGAGGGUGAACGGCCACAAGGGGACUGAGAUACGGCCCUUACUCCUACGGGAGGCAGCAGUGGGGAAUAUUGGACAAUGGGGCAACCCUGAUCCAGCAAUUCUGUGUGCACGAAGAAGGUUUUCGGAUUGUAAAGUGCUUUCAGCAGGGAAGAAGAAAGUGACGGUACCUGCAGAAGAAGCGACGGCUAAAUACGUG
rnacentral:rRNA from 1 species